GGCUCCUUAGCUCAGGGGUUAGAGCUCUGGUUUUAUAAGCCUAAGCCAGGGGAUGUGAGUUCAAAUCUCACUGGGGCCU
rnacentral:tRNA from 1 species